UGAUCCGAUAAAAUUUCCGGCAGAGCGUAAGAACUUCUCGGAAGUAUUAUUUACAGCGGAAGCUGUAUAGGUAAACAAAUUCUAGACUUUCAGUAACUUAUACAAACUCUGAACUCAGUCGUGUACAUUCCAUCCAGCAAUGGAGGGCAGCAGCUCAUCCUUACCCUCCAUCAUGACAGUUUACAUCAAAGAGGAGCCUGAAGAUGAGGGAGAGAACAUAACUGUGAAGGAUGAACCACUUUGCAGUGAAGAAUAUGAGAAAACUCUACUUCCC